rnacentral:rRNA from 1 species
GAUGAACGCUGGCGGCGUGCUUAACACAUGCAAGUCGAGCGAGAAGUUUUGAAAAGAUUCUUCGGAUGCAAUUUAAAAUGGAAAGCGGCGGACGGGUGAGUAACGCGUAGGCAACCUGCCCCAUACAAAGGGAUAGCAUUUGGAAACGAAUAUUAAUACCUUAUGAAACUUAACUAGUGCAUGCUAGGUAGGUCAAAGAUUUAUCGGUAUGGGAUGGGCCUGCGUCUGAUUAGCUAGUUGGUGAGGUAACGGCUCACCAAGGCGACGAUCAGUAGCCGACCUGAGAGGGUGAACGGCCACAUUGGAACUGAGACACGGUCCAAACUCCUACGGGAGGCAGCAGUGGGGAAUAUUGCACAAUGGGGGAAACCCUGAUGCAGCAACGCCGCGUGAACGAUGAAGGCCUUUGGGUCGUAAAGUUCUGUUCUAGGUGAUGAAAACUGACAGUAACCGAGGAGAAAGCCCCGGCUAACUCCGUG